UCUCAGUUCGGAUUGGAGUCUGCAACCCGACUCCAUGAAGCUGGAUUCGCUAGUAAUCGCGCAUCAGCCACGGCGCGGUGAAUACGUUCCCGGGCCUUGUACACACCGCCCGUCAGGCCAUGGAAGCCGGGAGUGCCUGAAGUGCGUGAGCGCAAGCAGCGCCCUAAGGUAAAACCGGUGACUGGGGCUAAGUCGUAACAAGGUACC
rnacentral:rRNA from 1 species